rnacentral:lncRNA from 1 species
UGUGUGAUCUCUUACAAGCUCUCCUUGAAAAUGCCUCCUCGUGUAGGCUGGGCGUGGUGGCUCACGCCUGUAAUCCCAGCACUUUGGGAGGCUGAGGCGGGCGGAUCACGAGGUCAGGAGUUUGAGACCAGCAUGGCCACCAUAGUGAAACCCUGUCUCUACUAAAAAUACAAAAAAUUAGCUGGACGUGGUGGUGGGCGCCUGUAAUCCCAGUUACUUGGAGGCUGAGUUAGGCCCUAACGAGGCAUCAGAAGGCAGUUUUCUUGGGCAGUGGAAAGUGCCCUGAGUGAGAAUGAUACUAGAAAUACUAAAUCGCAGCUGCCAUUGUUGGGCCUCCCUAAGUACAGAGCAUUCUGCUAUCCUACAGCUGCUCUUCCCAGCAGACCUCUGAGAAGGCACUAUUACUUCCAUUUUCCAGGAAGAGAAGGCUGACACUCAGAGAGGUUAAGUAGGUUGUCCAAGGUCACAGGGAGCAGGGGGUGGGCCUAGGGUUCACACCUGGGUUUGCCCAGCUCCAAAGCCUUUCCUCUCCUUUGCUGCCCCGGGCUCAGCUCUCCUGGCAGGGCAGGUGGGUUCUGUCUGAGUCCCGGGACUGAUGGAGGAGUAGAGCCCUGUGUUAAGAACCCUGCGCUGGGCUUCAGGGAUAGGAGAGCUUUGAUUGGUGAGUGAGGUCUGCCUGGGCACAGGAAGAGUGAGAGGCACGCGUGUGUGUUCACACACCAUUAGGGUGGGUUUCCUUACAAAGUGUGAAUGCAUCUCUCGAUCGGCUUAGCAGGGUGGGUUCUAGAAGUACAGUCCCCGAAUGGCCGUCCUGUGGAUAAUCCAGGGUUCAAUGGGAUGCUCUGUUUCCCUAAACUGUCGCCCACACUCUGUGAUCAGAUUUGAACAAGAUCACAACCUCAGGAGUUUGGUAUUUUCUCUUCCCUCUCUACAUUCUACAUGAGAAAGCACAUUAAUACUUUGCCAUGAUGUCAUUUUAUAUGUAACAUACUUUUAUAGGAGAUGAGUGGGGUUUAAAAUUUUUUUACUUUUGAUGAGGACACAUUUUCAUAAUGAGAAUUUUGAUUCUGUUUUUCUCUAUUAUGGAAGUCAUACCAAUCAUCACUGAAAAUUUAGAAAAAGCAGAAAUGACUGACGAGGUCGGAGACAGGGAUGGCUGCACGUAAGCGAGGGGCUGGCGCAGGAGCGGGGACAGCCCGGGGCUGGUCCUGGCAGCGGGGUUUCAAGCCUCCAUCUCUGGGUCCUGAAGUCACAUCUCAGGUCCUGAAGUCACAUCUCAGCCUGGCAGAGCCUCCCUGGCUCCUGGCCCCCCACGUGCUCCUGUGCUUUCUGGGGUCACCUGCAUGUGGGCCAGUCCCUCCAGGUUGUGGCUCCUCAGCCCCACCCCCAUCACCUGGGCGGGAUCUCUGUCAGCAUGGGGCUCUGCAUAUCAUGGGAGGAGAUGGAUUCCUUGAGGAGCUUCUUGGCCGUGAAUGGCACUGUCUCAGCAACGGAGCCCUGAUGGUGAGGGUGUCGUGGCAGCCUCAGCUCUGCCUGUGACCCAGGGACACACGCCUCCACUGGGGGAUGCUGCU